rnacentral:rRNA from 1 species
CCUACGGGAGGCAGCAGUGGGGAAUAUUGGACAAUGGGCGAAAGCCUGAUCCAGCCAUGCCGCGUGUGUGAAGAAGGCCUUCGGGUUGUAAAGCACUUUCAGUGGGGAAGAAAGCCUUGGGGCUAAUACCCUCGAGGAAGGACAUCACCCACAGAAGAAGCACCGGCUAACUCCGUGCCAGCAGCCGCGGUAAUACGGAGGGUGCGUGCGUUAAUCGGAAUUACUGGGCGUAAAGCGCGCGUAGGCGGUCUGAUAAGCCGGUUGUGAAAGCCCCGGGCUCAACCUGGGAACGGCAUCCGGAACUGUCAGGCUAGAGUGCAGGAGAGGAAGGUAGAAUUCCCGGUGUAGCGGUGAAAUGCGUAGAGAUCGGGAGGAAUACCAGUGGCGAAGGCGGCCUUCUGGACUGACACUGACGCUGAGGUGCGAAAGCGUGGGUAGCAAACAGGAUUAGAUACCCCAGUAGUC